rnacentral:lncRNA from 1 species
CGGGGAGCAGCAAGGGCCAAAAUACCUGCAGCGAGGGCUCUGGCAGAUGAAGAUCAGCAGAGGAGGAAAGAAGCUAAUGAAAGCAAGCAUCAGAGGAUCGGACGGGUGGAGCCUAAGGAAACCGCGAGGAGGGCCUGCGUCCUGCAAGCACGGGCAGCAACUAGAGUGCACAGGGGCCAGAGAUGGAAGUUUUGGCUCUCACUGUCAGCCAGGGGGCAGUUCACCAUGCCCCCUGCCAGGGUGCCUCCCACUGCCCCAGGAACCAGGGCCUGCCAAGGGAGUCCACACUCGAUGACAGACAGGAUAAAGGAGCUAGGCAACCGGGCCCAGGUGUCCUCCACUGCAGUUUUGGGUUCCAUCGGAGAAAAUGGCUCCAGCAUCCUUUCUGGAGCCCUUUACUCAGCUGGCUUUUAUGGAGGAGGGGGAGAACAGAGAACAAGUCAUGUACAAUGAGAAAAACAGCAGCUCUGCCGUGGCUGCGGUAACAAAGAACCACAAGCUUUGUGGCCUAAAACAACACAACGUUAUUCUCUUUUAGUUCUGGAAGUCAGAAGUCCAAAAGAAGUCUUACGGAGCUACCAUCAACAUGGCAGCAAGUACAGCGUAUACAGUCAAGCGCACGAAUCUUUCUCGAACAGCUCUGUAACACGUGAGGUUUUCCUGAAGUGCCUCUGAGAUGAAGAUUUGCAUUCUGCUGGUUUACAGGGGAGCGAUUAGAGAUCGACACUGAGGGCAGAGCUAAGUAAUGACUAGGUUAAUGCUCCCCUCCUCUAAGGGGAAAGCAUCCAGCAGAUCACCCUGAGAAUACAGCAAAACCCCUGAAGUAUACAAAAAUGGCAUCCAAGAACUCAACAUAUUCAUCAUAAAGUACGGAGACUAAAGGCUGCCUUUGGUAGACUCAUAAAUAGAGCAGAUUUUUAGUAGCAAGAAAGUCUCUUUAAGACCGGGGAUCUUGUAACCUAACUUCAUCAUUUUCGGGUAGGGGAAACUGACGUCCUGAGAGAUUAUUGCCGAGGUCACACCAGCGGUUCGUAGUGCAGAGUUUUAGUCCACACACGUGAGUUCCCACGCGGACCUAUUCCUAGCUUACUGAUUCUUAUUUCUCAUACAACGCCCACAGUACUGAUCAUCUAUUUUCCUAUCUCAGAGUUCACAUGAUGGCUAUAGGGUGGAAGAGAGGGGAACGCUAGGCAGAAACAGCAGCAAAAAGAAAAAAAUUAACAGCCUGAUAAUGCAGGAGGAGAGAGAACCAGUGAAGUAGAAGUUCCAGAAAGCAGCCUGGGAACAUCUAGUGUGAAAACCUCUUGAUAAUUCCUGAAGAACUUGCAACGCUCCACAGCUUAGGAUCAUAACGACUUCGAGUCAUGAAGCAAAGAUGAAAUUGUACGCAUUUUAUGAAAUGGUGAGAAAUGUGUUAUCCUUAUUAAAAUAGUUUCCAUCCAAUACCAUCCUUUGUAUGAGGUUUUGAG